GGGGAUGUGGCUCAGGUGGUAGAGCACUUGCCUAGCAUGCAUGAAGUCCUGGGUUUGAUUUCCAGCACCCCUU
rnacentral:tRNA from 1 species